UACAGAGGAGCCAAGCGUUUGUCCGGAUUGACUGGGCGUAAAGCGCACGCAGGCGGGGGUGCGCGUGGGGUGUGAAAUCUGGCCGCUUUAACGGCCAGGCGCCAUCCCAUACGGCACGCCUGGAGCCUUGCAGAGGUCGGUGGAAUUGCCGGUGUAGUGGUGAAAUGCGUAGAGAUCGGCAGGAACACCCAGGGGAAACCAGCCGACUGGGCAAGUGCUGACGCUGAGGUGCGAGAGCGUGGGGAGCGAACCGG
rnacentral:rRNA from 1 species